rnacentral:rRNA from 1 species
CAGCCGCCGCGGGAAUACGUAGGUGGCAAGCGUUGUCCGGAAUUAUUGGGCGUAAAGUGCGCGCAGGUGGUUUAAUAAGUCUGAUGUGAAAGCCCACGGCUCAACCGUGGAGGGUCAUUGGAAACUGUUAAACCUGAGCGCAGGAGAGAAAAGUGGAAUUCCUAGUGUAGCGGUGAAAUGCGUAGAGAUUAGGAGGAACACCAGUGGCGAAGGCGGCUUUUUGGCCUGUAACUGACACUGAGGCGCGAAAGCGUGGGGAGCAAACAGGAUUAGAUACCCCCGUAGUCCCUGUCUCUUAUAC